rfam:Rattus norvegicus chromosome 10, whole genome shotgun sequence.
GGGGAUUUGGCUCAGUGGUAGAGUGCUUGCCUAGGAAGCGCAAGGUCCUGGGUUCAAUCCCCAGCCCCG